rnacentral:rRNA from 1 species
GACGAACGCUGGCGGCGUGCUUAACACAUGCAAGUCGAACGGAAAGGCCCUGCUUAUGUGGGGUGCUCGAGUGGCGAACGGGUGAGUAACACGUGAGUAACCUGCCCUUGACUUUGGGAUAACUUCAGGAAACUGGGGCUAAUACCGGAUAGGAGCUCCUGCUGCAUGGUGGGGGUUGGAAAGUUUCGGCGGUUGGGGAUGGACUCGCGGCUUAUCAGCUUGUUGGUGGGGUAGUGGCUUACCAAGGCUUUGACGGGUAGCCGGCCUGAGAGGGUGACCGGCCACAUUGGGACUGAGAUACGGCCCAGACUCCUCCGGGAGGCAGCAGUGGGGAAUAUUGCACAAUGGGCGGAAGCCUGAUGCAGCAACGCCGCGUGCGGGAUGACGGCCUUCGGGUUGUAAACCGCUUUCGCCUGUGACGAAGCGUGAGUGACGGUAAUGGGUAAAGAAGCACCGGCUAACUACGUG